GCGGCGGGCGGCGGGCGGAAGGCAUCACUUUGUCCGGACUCUAAUUCAAAUUGUAUUCAUCCGAUCUUCACCAAACUUGGUCAGCAGUUGCAUCUAGUUGAUAUCUAGGCCAAGUUCGAAUAUGGGUCAUGCCGGGUCAAAAACUAGGUCAUAGGGUCAAUAAGUGCAUUUUCAAAGGGGCCACUUUGUCCGGACUCUAUUUCAAAUUGUAUUCAUCCGAUCUUCACCAAACUUGGUCAGCAGUUGCAUCUAGUUGAUAUCUAGGCCAAGUUCGAAUAUGGGUCAUGCCGGGUCAAAAACUAGGUCAUAGGGUCAAUUAGUGCAUUUUCAACGGCGCCACUUUGUCCGGACUCUAAUUCAAAUUGUAUUCAUCCGAUCUUCACCAAACUUGGUCAGCAGUUGCAUCUAGUUGAUAUCUAGGCCAAGUUCGAAUAUGGGUCAUGCCGGGUCAAAAACUAGGUCAUAGGGUCAAUUAGUGCAUUUUCAACGGCGCCACUUUGUCCGGACUCUAAUUCAAAUUGUAUUCAUCCGAUCUUCACCAAACUUGGUCAGUAGUUGCAUCUAGUUGAUAUCUAGGUCAAGUCCGAAUAUGGGUCAUGCUGGGUCAAAAACUAGGUCAAAGGGUCAAUUAGUGCAUUUUACUUUGUCCGGACUCUAAUUCAAAUUGUAUUCAUCCGAUCUUCACCAAACUUGGUCAGCAGUUGCAUCUAGUUGAUAUCUAGGCCAAGUUCGAAUAUGGGUUAUGCCGGGUCAAAAACUAGGUCACAGGGUCACUUAGUGCAUUUCAAGCAUUAAGCAUGGUGUCCGCUCUCUAAUUGAAUUAGUUUUUUUUCCAAUCUUCACCAAACUUGGUCAGAAGUUGUAUCUGGACAAUGUCUAGGUCAAGUUCGAAUAUGGGUCAUGCCGGGUCAAAAACUAGGUAACGGGGUCACUAAGUGCAUUUCAAGCAUUUAGCAUGGUGUCGGCUCUCUAAUUGAAGUAGUUUUCAUCCGAUCUUCACCACAUUUGGUCAGAAGUUGUGUCUAGACAAUAUCUAGGUCAAGUUCAAAUAUGGGUCAUGUCA